CGGAGUGUCGUAUAGUGGUAGUACGCAGGCUUCGGGAGUCUGUAGCGGGAGUUCGAUUCUCCCCACUCCGA
rnacentral:tRNA from 7 species